CGCCUUCUGAUUGGAAGACGCGGAGGAGUAGGCGUGCCCGUUGCAAGAUCCUGAAACGUGAUUGGAUCGCGUCUGUUCUCGCAUCAGAGAUGGACGCGCUCGUGAGCUGCUCCACUGCGUUGCGUUCGGUUCUCCGUUCAUUCCGUUAACCGUUACCUAACGGCGAUCCUCAGCGCGUUUAAUUAAAACAGACGCAGUUCGUCGUUUUCCAUCAUAGGAUCUCAAGCCAGCAGGAUGGCAGGCGCAGCGGCUCGCGGCACGGGCUGCGUGACGCUCCGCGGCGCUCAGAUCCGGGACCUGCUGGACGCUAAACACAACGUGCUGUUCGACUGCGACGGCGUCAUCUGGAACGGAGAAACCGCCGUUACCGGAGCUCCGGAGGUGGUCAGUCUGCUCAAGCAGCGCGGCAAGCGCGUGUUCUUCGUCACCAACAACUGCACCAGGCCGCGGGAGAACUACGUGCAGAAGUUCAGCCGCCUCGGCUUCACGGACGUCGCGGAGGAGGAGAUCUUCAGCUCGGCGUACUGCUCCGCCGCGUACCUGCGCGAUGUGGCGCGGCUGCAGGGGAAGGUGUACGUGAUCGGCUGCGGCGGGGUGAUGAAGGAGCUGCGGGACGCCGGGGUGCCGGUGGCGGAGGAGGAGGACGCGGAGCCGGGCGCCAGCAUCUACAACUGCCCGCUGGACCCGGAUGUGAAGGCGGUGCUGGUGGGAUACGACGAGAACUUCACCUUCAUGAAGCUCGCCAAAGCCUGCUGCUACCUGAGGAGCCCCGAGUGCCUGUUCCUGGCCACUGACCCGGACCCCUGGCACCCGCUGAGAGGAGGCAGGGUCACCCCAGGGUCCGGCAGCCUCACCGCCGCUCUGGAGACGGCCAGCAGCAGGAAGGCCACGGUCAUCGGGAAGCCCAGCCGCUUCAUGUUCGAGUGCAUCUCCAGUCAGUUCGGUCUGGACCCGGCGCGCUCGCUGAUGAUCGGAGACCGGCUGGAGACGGACGUUCUGUUCGGCAGCAACUGCGGCCUGACCACGGUGCUCACGCUGACGGGCGUCUCCACGCUGGAGGAGGCGCUCGCGUACAGAGACGGCCAGGAGCCGCAGCAGAAGGACUGCGUGCCUGAUUACGUGAUGGAAUCUGUGGCUGAUUUCCUGCAGGCGCUGGAGGAGUGACGGCUACAGCUGCGAUCUCCAUGCUGUGUCUCCACACGGACUGGGAGUAAAUCGGGACGGAUGCUGUCAAACUCCAGUCUUUGAAAAGCAGUCGUCCAUGAGACGAGCUCUGUGUGAUGAGACUGCAGGAGGCUUUCUGUCUCGUUUGGAUCUUAAUGACACUCAUCCUGAUUCCCUUUCACUGAAUGAAGUAUUGUGGGAAUAUUCUGCUCAUCCUCCUUUGUGUUCCACAGAAGAAAUAAAUUCAUCAGGGUUUGGAGUAAAGCUGCUUCAUUCUCCCCCAACAGCUGCUCAGAAGACAAUCGAGUACCUUUCCUUGAUCCUAGCGUGAGUUUCUGAUGAAGUUAACAGCAUUGGUGAUUAGUUAAGUCUAGUUAAAGCACUGUGCCAGUUGAAAUCUCUACUUAGUAAUGGGACUGUUCAGAGCAGUUUGACCAACACAGACUCAUUUUAUGUGCCAACCACUGUAUGUGUUUUUAUUUUGAAUCAUUUUUAUUGAGAUUGAAUUGAAUUAGUGUUGUUUGACUGAGAUCUGCUGCUCACUUGUUUGUUGAUUGGGUUUUAACUGCCUUUAUUAACACAAGUGACCUUUUUGACCGGAGUAGUUGAUGUUUGAGAGCUGUGUGUUAUUCAGUGGUUCGUCUUCAUAUAAAGCUCAAAACCGUGAAAAAUGAAACAUCUGCAAAUCUAAUGUGCCAAAAUCAUCCCGCGUGAAACCACUGAAUAUGAACCUGCAUGUAUGAGAAGAUGAAAUCAUAUUGUGUUUUUGAUUCUGGUCAGUCAGCUGUUCAUUGAAACUGGAGCGUUUUGUCAUGAAAACAAUCCUGAGUGAUUUCUGCUAAUUGUUCAUUGUCUUUAGACUUUGUGUCCAUUAUAAAUCUGAUUAUAUUAUAUCGAAGACAAACAUGCAUCUGAAGUCAGCUGUGAACUGGUUUUGAUUUAAUGCUCUCUCUGUGUUGUGAAUUCACUUUUGUAGAAAUAAAAAUAUGGCUUGUAUCUUA